rnacentral:lncRNA from 1 species
GUGCCCUAGACUAGCAGUUCAAUAAUGAUGCUGCCCUCUUCACAUUAGGUUUCCUUCUGUCCUGAGGUCUGGUACAGGGCAGAUGAAGAGGGAAGUGAAACAAGGAGCUGGGCUUAAGAAUCCCAAUGAAAGGAUGGGGAACUGUCUCCGAAGAAGAUUCAGCCAGCCAAAGGACAACCAAGAGGAACACAGGAAGCCGAGAACUGGAAACCUAGAACAGAAAAAGUACAGACAAGUAAUAAAGAGAAGAAAGAAAGAGUUCC